AUUGAACGCUGGCGGCAUGCCUUACACAUGCAAGUCGAACGGCAGCACGGGUGCUUGCACCUGGUGGCGAGUGGCGAACGGGUGAGUAAUACAUCGGAACAUGUCCUGUAGUGGGGGAUAGCCCGGCGAAAGCCGGAUUAAUACCGCAUACGAUCUACGGAUUAAAGCGGGGGACCUUCGGGCCUCGCGCUAUCGGGUUGGCCGAUGGCUGAUUUGCUAUUUGGUGGGGUAAAGGCCUACCAAGGCGACUAUCAGUAGCUGGUCUGAGAGGACGACCAGCCACACUGGGACUGAGACACGGACCAGACUCCUACGGGAGGCAGCAGUGGGGAAUUUUGGACAAUGGGCGAAAGCCUGAUCCAGCAAUGCCGCGUGUGUGAAGAAGGCCUUCGGGUUGUAAAGCACUUUUGUCCGGAAAGAAAUCCUUGGCCCUAAUACGGUCGGGGGAUGACGGUACCGGAAGAAUAAGCACCGGCUAACUACGUG
rnacentral:rRNA from 1 species